rnacentral:rRNA from 1 species
UACAGAGGGGGCAAGCGUUGUUCGGAAUUACUGGGCGUAAAGGGCGCGUAGGCGCCUGUUAAGUCGAACGUGAAAUCCCCGGGCUCAACCCGGGAACUGCGUCCGAUACUGGCAGGCUUGAAUCCGGGAGAGGGAUGCGGAAUUCCAGGUGUAGCGGUGAAAUGCGUAGAUAUCUGGAGGAACACCGGUGGCGAAGGCGGCGAUCC